UUGUCGAAGAAGUAAGCUCUAGACGAGAAGACGUGGCCAGGGAGGCCGGAGCUGCUCUGCAGGAGACGAAGACAGACGACAAGAUGGCGCGCCAGGACGACCAGGUUGUAACAGGCCCUGGACGCGUACAGCAGGAUGACGAUGGCUCCUAUAACUGUCACCUGGCACACCGACGUCCCCUGCACAACGUCAGAGCAACAGCCCGGAGUUUAAGACGAGUUGGAAGCAGUGAUAGCGAUGUUGCAUGCUGGUCUGCAGAUGCAUGCAUGGUGUUAACUUCGUCUGCCGGGUGAUGCAGCAGUUCUGCAGGAAACGUUGCUGGGAUCGCCAUCUUAAUGAAACGACUCAACCUGACCAACCUGGACCAAAAUCAUCACUGAAGACCUUUAAUAAUUACAUCUAGGCAUUCCAGUGUAGCUCCAUUUCUAUGCAGUAUCGUCACAUGCAACUCAAACGUAACGUUUUUCUGCAGCAGAACAUAAUGCUAAUAAACACCCACAAAGGAGGAAUUGGAUUAAAAGGAUGCGAAGAAACAGAAAACCACUGAAGAAACAUGAAAUAAUUAAAUGUGUGUGAGUGGAAAGAUUUUUGUUUUUUGAAAACAUUUUACCCUAAUUAAAUAACGAAUUACAACAACAACAAAAAAAAAAGAACAAGUAUUAAAACCAACCAUGGCAUCUUGUUCUACAUCUAAACUGAGUUUAAUCGAUUUUAUUGGAAUGUCUGGCUUGUGUCUUUAAUAUAUGAAUAAUUCAAAGGUUGUCAGGAGACUUAAAUGACAUAUGCUGCACAGCUAAAUCAGUUAUUUAUUGCUCAAGAUGCAAAAUGUCAUUUCAGCUGCUAGUUCACAUGAAGACAAAUAUUCCCUUAAGCUACGACAUGAAAAGACUUGUAUUGAAUGUCUUUAAAUGUCAAGUUGUCCCAUCUAAACAAAAGGAGUUCCUAUCAACACCUGCAGACUAUAUUCCUUUGGUUUUGUUAGACAGAACCUGGGAUCAGGUUCCCCUUAUUUCACAUCUGCAGAGGUUCUGGACUUGACCUUUUGUUACAAAGUCUACUUCAAAUUUUUACAAGUUUUUCCACCCCUUGAACUACAAGCUUCAAUGAUUGUUACUGACAUGAUGGAUCAAAACAAAGUAGCACAUGGCGGUGAAGUGAAAGCAAAGGACACAUGGCUUUCACAAUGUUUGACAAGUCAAAUAUGAAAAUGUGGCAUGUUUUCGUCUCCAGCCCUCUUUGACACUCCUAAUCAAAAUCCACCUGCCAAGGUGAGGAAAGGAGAGCAUUCAACUGAAAAGCAGCAGCAGAGGUGUCACUAA